rnacentral:rRNA from 1 species
AUUGAACGCUGGCGGCAGGCCUAACACAUGCAAGUCGAGCGAGCGGCGGACGGGUGAGUAAUGUAUGGGGACUGCCCGAUAGCGGGGGAUAACUACUGGAAACGGUAGCUAAUACCGCAUACUAUCGGAUAACCCAUAUGGGAUUAGCUAGUAGGGGAGGUAAUGGCUCACCUAGGCGACGAUCCCUAGCUGGUCUGAGAGGAUGAUCAGCAACACUGAGUCGGUGACACGGCCCAGACUCCUACGGAGGCAGCAGUGGGAAAUAUUGCACAGUGGGCACAGGCCGGAUGCAGCCAUGCCGCGUGUAUGAAGAAGGCCCUGGGGUUGUAAAGUACUUUCAGUCGGGAGGCGUUACCGACAGAAGAAGCACCGGCUAACUCCGUGCCAGCCGCCGCGGUAAUAC